AGAGUUUGAUCAUGGCUCAGGAUGAACGCUAGCGGCAGGCUUAAUACAUGCAAGUCGAGGGGCAGCAUGACUGUAGCAAUACGGUUGAUGGCGACCGGCAAACGGGUGCGGAACACGUACAGAACCUUCCUUCGAGCGGGGAAUAGCCCAGAGAAAUUUGGAUUAAUACCCCAUAGCAUAUUGAUAAGGCAUCUUAUUAAUAUUAAAGAUUUAUCACUUGAAGAUGGCUGUGCGGCUGAUUAGGUAGUUGGCGGGGUAACGGCCCACCAAGCCUGCGAUCAGUAACUGGUGUGAGAGCACGACCAGUCACACGGGCACUGAGACACGGGCCCGACUCCUACGGGAGGCGGCAGUAAGGAAUAUUGGUCAAUGGACGAAAGUCUGAACCAGCCAUGCCGCGUGGAGGAUGAAGGUCCUCUGGAUUGUAAACUUCUUUUAUAUGGGACGAAAAAGGGUCUUUCUAGAUCAACUGACGGUACCAUAUGAAUAAGCACCGGCUAACUCCGUGCCAGCAGCCGCGGUAAUACGGAGGGUGCAAGCGUUAUCCGGAUUCACUGGGUUUAAAGGGUGCGUAGGUGGGUUGGUAAGUCAGUGGUGAAAUCCCCGAGCUUAACUUGGGAACUGCCAUUGAUACUAUCAGUCUUGAAUACCGUGGAGGUUAGCGGAAUAUGUCAUGUAGCGGUGAAAUGCUUAGAUAUGACAUAGAACACCAAUUGCGAAGGCAGCUGGCUACACGAAUAUUGACACUGAGGCACGAAAGCGUGGGGAUCAAACAGGAUUAGAUACCCUGGUAGUCCACGCCCUAAACUAUGGAUACUCGACAUACGCGAUACACAGUGUGUGUCUGAGCGAAAGCAUUAAGUAUCCCACCUGGGAAGUACGAUCGCAAGAUUGAAACUCAAAGGAAUUGACGG
rnacentral:rRNA from 1 species